AACACGUGGGUAACCUGCCCAUAAGACUGGGAUAACUCCGGGAAACCGGGGCUAAUACCGGAUAACAUUUUGAACCGCAUGGUUCGAAAUUGAAAGGCGGCUUCGGCUGUCACUUAUGGAUGGACCCGCGUCGCAUUAGCUAGUUGGUGAGGUAACGGCUCACCAAGGCAACGAUGCGUAGCCGACCUGAGAGGGUGAUCGGCCACACUGGGACUGAGACACGGCCCAGACUCCUACGGGAGGCAGCAGUAGGGAAUCUUCCGCAAUGGACGAAAGUCUGACGGAGCAACGCCGCGUGAGUGAUGAAGGCUUUCGGGUCGUAAAACUCUGUUGUUAGGGAAGAACAAGUGCUAGUUGAAUAAGCUGGCACCUUGACGGUACCUAACCAGAAAGCCACGGCUAACUACGUGCCAGCAGCCGCGGUAAUACGUAGGUGGCAAGCGUUAUCCGGAAUUAUUGGGCGUAAAGCGCGCGCAGGUGGUUUCUUAAGUCUGAUGUGAAAGCCCACGGCUCAACCGUGGAGGGUCAUUGGAAACUGGGAGACUUGAGUGCAGAAGAGGAAAGUGGAAUUCCAUGUGUAGCGGUGAAA
rnacentral:rRNA from 1 species